rnacentral:lncRNA from 1 species
GAUAAUGGAGUAAUAACACACAGACCGCCUCCUGUACAAUAUGGAAGACAAGGAGGACGGUUUGGUGAUCGAAAUAGAGAAUUUAACCGGCCAAGUCGUCCUCGAGGUGAAUAUCAACAGCGAGAUCAGGCUUUUGAUAACAGAGGACCUAGUCAGCGAGAUCAGGCUUUUGAUAACAGAGGACCUAGUCAAGCGAGUGCAGGGAACUUUAGGCCACCACAAAAUCCUACACCACAGCAGAAUUAUGGUCCACCUAGAGUUGCCCCGGUGAACAAUUCUGCUGGUGGUCAGGAUAAUUAUCAGGGACAAAUGAGAGACCAAAUGCACCCUAAC